rnacentral:rRNA from 1 species
UGGCGGACGGGUGAGUAACGCGUGGAAAACCUGCCGUAUACUGGGGGAUAACACUUAGAAAUAGGUGCUAAUACCGCAUAAGCGCACAGCUUCGCAUGAAGCGGUGUGAAAAACUCUGGUGGUAUACGAUGGUUCCGCGUCUGAUUAGCUAGUUGGUGGGGUAAUGGCCUACCAAGGCAACGAUCAGUAGCCGGCCUGGAGAGGGUGAACGGCCACAUUGGGACUGAGACACGGCCCAAACUCCUACGGAAGGCAGCAG